rnacentral:rRNA from 1 species
GAGUUUGAUCAUGGCUCAGGAUGAACGCUGGCGGCGUGCCUAACACAUGCAAGUCGAACGGAGUUUAUGAGGAAGAAGCUUCGGCGGAAUUCUUAUAAACUUAGUGGCGGACGGGUGAGUAACACGUGGAGAACCUGCCUCUUACCGGGGGACAGCAGUUGGAAACGACUGAUAAUACCGCAUAAGCGCACGAGACCGCAUGGUCCUGUGUGAAAAGAUUUAUCGGUAAGAGAUGGCUCCGCGUCUGAUUAGCCAGUUGGCGGGGUAACGGCCCACCAAAGCGACGAUCAGUAGCCGGCCUGAGAGGGUGAACGGCCACAUUGGGACUGAGACACGGCCCAGACUCCUACGGGAGGCAGCAGUGGGGAUAUUGCACAAUGGAGGAAACUCUGAUGCAGCGACGCCGCGUGAGUGAAGAAGUAUUCGGUAUGUAAAGCUCUAUCAGCAGGGAAGAAAGACCUACGAAA